GGAGGGCAGUGAGAUCACCUGCCAAGGUGGCUUAGUUAGAGAGAGAGAGAAGGCCACAUCUGAGCAACACAGAGGCACUCAGGAGGAGACCCUUCAUUACAAUUACAAGCAUGUUUAUCUCUCCUUUGCAGUAACAAGCUUCAUAGAGCAAGCCCCAAGACAGAGGGCUCAGCAUGUCAAGCCAUCAGUCCCUAGUGUUUGUGAGAACAUCAGCAACCAUCCAGCUAACUGCCAGCUCUGCUUCUGUUAGAAUAGCUUGCCUGCUUGCGUUCCUAGGACACGGUUUCUGUGUACAUAAGGCCCCAGCGCACACAGGUCACGGCUGCUGCUCACUGAAGUCCCUGCUCGGAGUGACGGGCGGCAGUCGCCGGCCGGCUGAUAAAGGCUCUUUAAAUUCUG